GUGGGGGACUGCGUUCGCGCUCU
rnacentral:piRNA from 1 species